AUGAUUCAUCAUCUUCAUAACCACAUCUUCAUCAUCAACACUUCAUCAAGAUUCUUCUUCAUUGUUGUGUCUGAAUCAACAUCACCACAUCAAUCUCCAACUUAUUCAACAUCAACAUUUCAUCAUCUACACAGAGCAAUAACAACAUCACAACGCAAUCAUAGAAACACAGAGAAGCGGAAACCGAGGAAGAAGCGAUUGUCGAGGUGUCAAACAACAUACAUGAAUCUCUAG